GAUGAACGCUGGCGGCGUGCCUAAUACAUGCAAGUCGAGCGAACAGACGAGGAGCUUGCUCCUCUGACGUUAGCGGUGGACGGGUGAGUAACACGUGGAUAACCUACCUAUAAGACUGGGAUAACUUCGGGAAACCGGAGCUAAUACCGGAUAAUAUAUUGAACCGCAUGGUUCAAUAGUGAAAGACGGUUUUGCUGUCACUUAUAGAUGGAUCCGCGCCGCAUUAGCUAGUUGGUAAGGUAACGGCUUACCAAGGCAACGAUGCGUAGCCGACCUGAGAGGGUGAUCGGCCACACUGGAACUGAGACACGGUCCAGACUCCUACGGGAGGCAGCAGUAGGGAAUCUUCCGCAAUGGGCGAAAGCUUGACGGAGCAACGCCGCGUGAGUGAUGAAGGUCUACGGAUCGUAAAACUCUGUUAUUAGGGAAGAACAAAUGUGUAAGUAACUAUGCACGUCUUGACGGUACCUAAUCAGAAAGCCACGGCUAACUACGUG
rnacentral:rRNA from 1 species